GUUUGGCAGGAUUGAUGAUGGAGAGGCAGGCAGUGACCAGACCAAGGGACGCCUUGGAUGGUGGAGAAUAGGUGACCCUCUGUUGGGUGAAAUAGGACUCAAGCCCUCACACAGUGGCCCGAGGCAGCCGGGAUGACAGCUCUCCCCAGGAAUCCUGCUGCCUGCUGAGAAACAUGGUCAGCAAGUCCCGCUGGAAGCUCCUGGCCAUGUUGGCUCUGGUGCUGGUCGUCAUGGUGUGGUAUUCCAUCUCCCGGGAAGACAGGUACAUCGAGCUUUUUUAUUUUCCCAUCCCGGAGAAGAAGGAGCCGUGCCUCCAGGGUGAGGCAGAGAGCAAGGCCUCUAAGCUCUUUGGCAACUACUCCCGGGAUCAGCCCAUCUUCCUGCGGCUUGAGGAUUAUUUCUGGGUCAAGACGCCAUCUGCUUACGAGCUGCCCUAUGGGACCAAGGGGAGUGAGGAUCUGCUCCUCCGGGUGCUAGCCAUCACCAGCUCCUCCAUCCCCAAGAACAUCCAGAGCCUCAGGUGCCGCCGCUGUGUGGUCGUGGGGAACGGGCACCGGCUGCGGAACAGCUCGCUGGGAGAUGCCAUCAACAAGUACGAUGUGGUCAUCAGAUUGAACAAUGCCCCAGUGGCUGGCUAUGAGGGUGACGUGGGCUCCAAGACCACCAUGCGUCUCUUCUACCCUGAAUCUGCCCACUUCGACCCCAAAGUAGAAAACAACCCAGACACACUCCUCGUCCUGGUAGCUUUCAAGGCAAUGGACUUCCACUGGAUUGAGACCAUCCUGAGUGAUAAGAAGCGGGU
rnacentral:sRNA from 1 species